GCCGGGUUAGCUCAGCGGUAGAGCAGCGGUUUUGUAAACCGUUGGUCGGGAGUUCAAUUCUCUCACCCGGCACCA
rnacentral:tRNA from 1 species